CCCGAGGACUCGAGGAGUGGAGAGGGGGAGGAGCCACGGUGAUGUUGUGGUCGCUCGCCGAGUCGCCGUUGUCUGCAGCUUCUGGAAAGAAAUCAAGAUCUUGGAUUAUUGCCUUAAGCGAGGAAAAGGGAAAAGUAUACAGGUCUGAUCUUUGUUGAUCUUGCACUUACCUUGGUGGUUACAUGCAUUUUGGGGUGUGCCUUUGGCGAUUUUGAACAGGCCUAGAUAUAUUGCUUUGCUAUGUUGACGUUUAUUAGAGUAGAUAAUUGUAUUUCUCGUAAUGUGGAAAUGGCAAAGAUUAUGUAUUGCUACAAAAUUGUAUAGUUGCUCUUCCCAAUUCCAUGUACAAGGCAUUUCUCAUUGAAUGGCAAGAUCAUGUAUUGCUGGAACGUGAUCAAGGAAACUAUUGAUCACUGUGUGAUAGCAUAUUGAAUUAAUAGAAACUCCAUGCGCAGAACUA